UACGUAGGGUGCGAGCGUUGUUCGGAAUUACUGGGCGUAAAGGGUUUGUAGGUGGCUUGCUCAGUCAGACGUGAAAUCCCUCAGCUUAACUGGGGAACUGCGUCUGAUACUAGCGAGCUUGAGUGCAGGAGAGGAACGCGGAAUUCCAGGUGUAGCGGUGAAAUGCGUAGGAUAAUCUGGAGGAACACCGGUGGCGAAGGCGGCGUUCUGGGACUGCAACUGACACUGAAAAACGAAAGCCAGGGGAGCAAACGGGAAUUAAGAAACCCCGUGUACAGUCCGAGUACCAAACGUCU
rnacentral:rRNA from 1 species